rnacentral:rRNA from 1 species
AUUGAACGCUGGCGGCAGGCCUAACACAUGCAAGUCGAGCGGAUGAAGGGAGCUUGCUCCUGGAUUCAGCGGCGGACGGGUGAGUAAUGCCUAGGAAUCUGCCUGGUAGUGGGGGAUAACGUCCGGAAACGGGCGCUAAUACCGCAUACGUCCUGAGGGAGAAAGUGGGGGAUCUUCGGACCUCACGCUAUCAGAUGAGCCUAGGUCGGAUUAGCGAGUUGGUGGGGUAAAGGCCUACCAAGGCGACGAUCCGUAACUGGUCUGAGAGGAUGAUAGGUCACACUGGAAGUGAGACACGGUCCAGACUCCUACGGGAGGCAGCAGUGGGGAAUAUUGGACAAUGGGCGAAAGCCUGAUCCAGCCAUGCCGCGUGUGUGAAGAAGGUCUUCGGAUUGUAAAGCACUUUAAGUUGGGAGGAAGGGCAGUAAGUUAAUACCUUGCUGUUUUGACGUUACCAACAGAAUAAGCACCGGCUAACUUCGUG